rnacentral:rRNA from 1 species
GAAAAGAAACCAACAGGGAUUGCCCCAGUAACGGCGAGUGAAGCGGCAAAAGCUCAAAUUUGAAAUCUGGCACCCCUGGUGUCCGAGUUGUAAUUUGGAGAGGCAUCUUCCGGAGGGACCCAGCCUAUGUUCCUUGGAACAGGACAUCACAGAGGGUGAGAAUCCCGUUCAUGGCUGGAUGUAUCCUYCAGUGGGUAGUGCCUUCUACGAGUCGAGUUGUUUGGGAAUGCAGCUCAAAAUGGGUGGUAAAUUUCAUCUAAAGCUAAAUAUUGGCGAGAGACCGAUAGCGCACAAGUAGAGUGAUCGAAAGAUGAAAAGCACUUUGAAAAUAGAGUCAAACAGUACGUGAAAUUGUUGAAAGGGAAGCGCUUGAGACCAGACUCAGCCUUUGGCAAACAAUUGUCCUUCUGGACGGUGCACUUGCCCUUGGCUGGGCCAGCAUCAGUUAGGACGGUGGAAUAAAGGCUCGAGGAAUGUGACUCCACUWCGGAGUGUUAUAGCCUCGAGUGCCAUACUACCUGUYUUGACUGUGGACCGCGCYUUKGCUAGGAUGCUGGCAUAAUGGUCUUUA